rnacentral:tRNA from 1 species
GCCGAUUUAGUUCAAUAGGCAGAACAACUGACUUGUAAUCAGUAGGUUGAGGGUUCGAGUCCCUUGAUCGGCU